GAGCAUACUAAAUAAAUAUAUCUGAAGACAUUUGAAAUAUAUAAAUAUUGUCUUCUUAUUGCCAGUGUUUGGUUCACCAUUCCUUCUUGAUCUUCAGUGAAUGCUAACAGUGGGAGUGUGAAGAAGCCAGAAUUUAGUGUCGAAGGGCCAGAUACUGUCCUGGACACUUUACUUACUGUAGUUCAUCUAUUUCCAUGGUUACCUCCAGAGUCAGGGGACGCAGACAUUUGUAGCUGCUUCUAGAAGACACUGAGUGGACCCUUUGGGAAGUCACUCUCUGGAGGUGGUGCUGAGAAUGUAAAUGAAGCUUUCCGGCUCCUGGGAAGUUAUAGACUUGUUCUUGGAGGCAAGAGAAGCCACAGACUGGAGCAGCUGAAAAUUUCCCAAGUGAUAGACUGGGGCAAGGGACAGGCAAGGUGGAAGGUACAGCUGUAAUGAGAGAUGCCCCAGGAGGAACAGUUGCCAGAAGACACUGCUGGCAGCCCCUGUGAAGGGGAGCAGCUGGAAACCAGCAUUGGGAGCAGCAUGGAACAGCAUGAAGAGGGGGCUCUGGCUUGGGCUGGCCCCAGCCUGAUUUUCCCUGGGGGGAGGGGAGGGCUGUGCUAAUUAUCUGCUCAAUAUCAAGACGGCACCUGGAAAUAAAUAUUUUGUUGUAA
rnacentral:lncRNA from 1 species